rnacentral:rRNA from 1 species
GACGAACGCUGGCGGCGUGCUUAACACAUGCAAGUCGAACGGGAGUAUUGAAGAAGCUUGCUUUAGAGAUACUUUAGUGGCGGACGGGUGAGUAACGCGUGAGGAGCUGUCCUAUGCAGGGGGACAACAGCUGGAAACGGCUGCUAAUACCCCAUAAGCCGAGAGGUAAAAGGAUCAAUCCGGCAGAGGAGGUACUCGCGUCCUAUCAGCUAGUAGGUGAGGUAACGGCUCACCUAGGCGAAGACGGGUAGCCGGCCUGAGAGGGCGAACGGCCACACUGGAACUGAGAUACGGUCCAGACUCCUACGGGAGGCAGCAGUGGGGAAUAUUGGGCAAUGGGGGAAACCCUGACCCAGCGACGCCGCGUGGGUGAAGAAAUCCUUCGGGAUGUAAAGCCCUGUUGUAUGGGAAGAGCGGAAGACGGUACCAUACGAGGAAGCCCCGGCAAAACUAACGUGCCAGCAGCCGCGGUAAAAAUCAACGUGUAA